rnacentral:lncRNA from 1 species
GAUAGUAGGGUUACUCAUAGAUGAUUAGUGUUUUAGCUUAUGUCCCAUUAUGGUUGUUAGUAUGGUAGAUACUGCUUGUUAUUAUUGCAUGCGACUGUAUUUAUGUUUCUUAUGUUUACAUAAUUACUUACGUUAUCUCUGCUGGAUUACUUAUGCUUUUGUUUCUAAUUUUGUCUUUGUUUUAAUGCAACUUUUCAUUUUAUCCUAUGCGCCGGGGGUCGAUUGGAAAUAGCCUCUCUGCCCUUUCGGACAGGAGUAAGGCUCGUCUACAUAUUACCCUCCCCAGACCCCACCUAGUGGG